ensembl:3prime_overlapping_ncRNA Gm29254 predicted gene 29254
AGAAGAAGCAGCGCCUGGGGGAGCAGAGGGAGCGCUCGGCGAGCCCGCAGCGCAGUGCGCGGCCCAGGCUGGAGGAGGUGCCCGGCGGCCAGGGGCGGCCCGAGGCCGGCAGGCCCGCCUCGGAGGCGGCCGACGGGAAGGAGGCGCUGCGCGGCCGGCGCGAUGGCCUCGGGGCCGCGGGCGCGCGGGAGGCCGAGGCCAAGAGGAGAAAGUUGCACUUGGGGGUUAGUCAUGGAGUUUGUGAUCCAAGGGACCAGUUCUCAGCUACUGCUGCAAGGACUUUUCCAUAUUACAUCAAUGAGAGACCUAAAAUUCCAAACCUGUCAAUCUUUCAUUUCAAUACUAUUUCCUUUAUUUAAAAGCUCAAACAUCAGUUUCAGAGAAGAGGGGCAGGAAAUAGGAAAUCAAGCACUAUUUGAGAUUGUGCAGUUUUGUCUUGCUUUUAAGGUUAACAUGGUUAAUUUACAUUUUUAAGAACCAGUGAACAAGAAGACAAAAGCGCAACCCUGACAAGCCACCUGCAGGCUGCAGCUGCCUCCAGCCUACCAAUUUGCAGCCACAGCUACCAUGGAACACCAGCCAGAUCGGAGCAGGGAAGCCGAGGCAGGGGAGCUGAGGCUUGGAUGGAAGCAAUGACUCCUGCAGACCCCAGGCAGGGAAUCCUGUGGCCCACCUGGAAAAGCUUCUGAAACGUUGGCUAGCACAAGGCUCUCCACCGGAAGCCAACCCACCAUCCCCGCAGCAGGGCAGGCUCCACCGGAAGCCAGCCCACCAUUCCCGCAGCAGGGCCGAUUUGCUGAAAUUCAGUCCAGUCGGCUGACGCUUGUGUGGGAUCUGAGUAUUAUUUGGAAGUUUAUAUUCUUAGUAAGUUUCCCUGAGUGUGUAAGUUCAUAUCCCAAUUUAUACUUUUCCACC